ACUGCCAUGAAAGCCUAGACAUUUUCUGAAACCUGCCGUUGUCGAGGUGGUCACGACACAAAGCAGGGACCACAAGCAGUUUCAGAUGGCAACAGUUUAUUAUUGAACAUGGCUGACCUUUUAUACACUCUUUAAUUGUUUAUGUUUCUUCUACCCAAACUAUUGGAUACAAUAAAUCAACAUAACAUCAUUGGUGAAAAGUUACAGUGACUUAACUAACUUUCUAAAUAUACUUCAUGCAGCUGUGAAGUUCUUAUCUUUCUUCAGUCUCUCAAUUCUCUUGGUCUCCUUGGUUACAGCCUUGGAGAGAGGUCCUUAUCAGCUUCUUCUUUCUUCUCAGCUUCUUCUUACUCCUUUAGCUAAGAGGCCCGCUGUUAGCCCCUUCCACAGAAACCUAUCCCCAUUUUAACGCGCAUGACAUCCUGAAGAUGCCGGCACCCAAAUCAGGAACUCUUCCAUCUAAUCCAACUGUCCUUUUUCCUGUCAGAAGUGAUGGACCAAACAUCUGUGCAGAAGGAGGCACAUCCUGGAGGAAGCAUUUUCCCAUGGGGAGCCCCUGCUGCAGGAAGGAAGGCGAUGGCAGACACGGGCACAGGCACAGCAGAUGCAGCCGGCACCACAACACGUCUUCCCCAUGCCCAGAAGGGCCUCGUAAGGGGCUUCUAUAUGGGAACAGGCUGCUGGGCAGGGGUAAUGGCAGGCCUGCUACUGUUGGACCUUAUUCUCAUAUUGUGCUGUGUCAGAAUCUGGUGUUACUGGAAGAAGAAAUGGAGCACCUCUGGCACUUCACAAGACCGGCCAAAGGCCUCAGUGCGGGAGAACUUGGCCUGUCAUCAUGCAUCUGCGUGCCAGUGUCCAUUGUCCCUUCCUGAGGUGCAUUACCACCUUAUUACUGCAAAUACGCCGCAACCACUGCCUAGAACAGAACCACCUCUCCCUGAAGGGACUGUCGUCGCUCUCCAUCCAGGACAGGAGGUGCAGCCUUCUAGCCACUUCAUGGAUUGUUGACAAAGUUAUCAUUACUUCUAAAAUUUUUAAAUGUUUAUUAAAAACCUUAUUAGAAAUAUAAGAGGACACUGAAUAAAGACAAUUUUACGGCGCCGGGAGUAGAGGAUUUUUCCCACCAUGUGCUCAUCCACACAUUGGAGGUUUCACCUUUUAACUGUUUUGCUCUUAUUAAUGUUCUGUCCAUCGACUCCUUCUUUGAUGUCCAGUGGUGGAGUUUACUUCCUUACAUCUCGAUUGGAGGUCAGGUGCUGCCGUCGUAGCAAGGUGACCCUCUUAUAUGUCCCAAACUCAGAUGCAGCCGGCACCACAACACGUCUUCCCCAUGCCCAGAAGGGCCUCAGAAGUGUCUUCUAUAUUGGAACAGGCUGCUGGGCAGGGGUAAUGGCAGGCCUGCUACUGUUGGACCUUAUUCUCAUAUUGUGCUGUGUCAGAAUCUGGUGUUACUGGAAGAAGAAAUGGAGCACCUCUGGCACUUCACAAGACCAGCCAAAGGCCUCAGCCAUGGAGAACUAGGCCUGUCAUCAUGCAUCUCCGUGCCAGUGUCCGUUGUCCCUGCCAGAGGUGUAUUACCAGCUUAUUGCUGCAAAUAUGCCGCAACCACUGCCUAGAACAGAACCAUCUCUCCCUGAAGGGACUGGCAUCGCUCUCCAUCCAGGACAGGAGGUGCAGCCUUCUAGCCACUUCAUGGAUUGUUUAAAAAGUUAUCAUUACUUCUAAAAUUUUUAAAUGUUUAUUAAAAACCUUAUUAGAAAUAUAA